AGGCGGCAGUGGUGUUGGCGACUUCGGUGAAGAAAAGUGAGAGUUCCAACUUUGCUCUUGGCCCGGGAGGGUUUUGGCGCGGAGCGUUGUCAUGUCAGAGAAAAAGCAGCCAGUAGAUUUGGGUCUCUUGGAGGAGGACGACGAGUUCGAGGAGUUCCCUGCGGAAGACUGGGCUGGUUUGGAUGAGGAUGAAGAUGCACAUGUCUGGGAGGAUAAUUGGGAUGAUGACAAUGUAGAGGAUGACUUCUCCAAUCAGUUACGAGCUGAACUAGAGAAACAUGGUUAUAAGAUGGAGACUUCAUAGCAUCCAGAAGUAUUGAAGCAACCUAAACUUGAACUGUUUAUUAAAUUCUAGGAUGGAGAACCCAGGA